AACAUUAAUUAAUACUAAAGAUAGUUUACAUGUGCAUCUAAUAUAUGGUAUCAAAUUCAAGAGGUCUCGAAAUACCAUGCGCAGAAAUAUUCCAAAAUCAAGAUAUGUCAUUUCGUAACAAAUUGUAGCGACACACAACAAAGCGAAAAAGAGUCCCAAGAAAAGACCUUAGUUACAGAUAAAAGGAGAUGAAAUCAAAAAAUGAAAACAGUCGCAGUCGGGAAAAUUAAGAAGACGUGUCGCAAAUUAGUCCGAGUGUGCUAAUCAAAAUGACUUUCCCUUGGAAAAUUGGUGUAACAAAAUGAGCAAAAUGAAAUCGUUGCUCUCUCUCAAAAACAUUCAGCAUUCACCCCCAAAAUUUUCCACCUCCAGUACUGCUAAUUGUGUAACACCCUCGCGCCGGUGUUGGCCCUCCUCUAACCUUAGAUUCUCUUAUUAUAUGGUAAAUCUACAAAGCUUAAUAACUCACUCCUAUUCUUAUCCUAAUACGUCACCGGGUCGCUGCCGGGCUACCAGUGCUGGCCCACCGCAGACCGAACCACCCAAUAACGAAGAAGACUCGUCAUCGUCUCCAGGUAUCAUGUCAUCUUUCUCCAAAGCACAAGACACCAUGCGGAUCUUUUUUGCUGUGUUAUUCUGGAUGUCGCUUUUCUUCUGGUAUUCUGUGUGGGAUGGGAAGAAUGAUGGCAGACCGAACAAGGGUUCUCGAUUUAGAAGAUAAAAUUGUAAGAAGUUUCUUUAUGGUGUCAUCUACAAUUAACUCCUGAUGUUGUCUUACGCUAUAGUGUAAAGCAGGGGGAGCAAAAGGGAAAAAGGAAAAAGAGGAGAAAUUUAGUGUCUAAAGUUAUUUAGAGUUACUGAAACGUGGAGAUUCUUCUGUCUACUUCACUUUAAGGUAGUGUAGAGCUCCUCGUUAGCCCAGCUAGCAUUAGUUCAUUCAUGCUAUGAUUCUUGGGUUUUGUACAAUUAUACAGGAUUAGAGUCUGUUGCAGUGGUCCUUAUAUUCUUUCAUUACGGGUAAAAGAAUACAUUUCCCUGUCUUGUUCAAGAACUUAUGAGCUACUCCGUCUUUAAUUACAUCUCUAAUAGAAGAAUACCUUUUCUUGUCUCGUAUAAGAA